CCAUUUGCAUCCCCCGCCCCCAGCGCCUAUAUUCGCUCUGCCGGCAACGGCUAUGGCGAUAAAUGGCUAUCGUAAUAAACCCAUCGGACCCGGGGGCAGUACCCGGCGCCUCCACCAUCUCCCCCUCGCGGGGGGAGCCACUGGGGGCGAAACAGGAUCGACGAGGGCGUAAAGGAUGUGUUUUCGCUCGGCAUGGCACUACCGUCAUCAGGCCAUCCUAAUAGUUGCGAAUGAUAACUAUGCAGCUAAGGUUGCUCUCGCCGCGUAAGCGGUGCUGGCACCAGAACUAGAAGUCCUCCGCU
rnacentral:tmRNA from 1 species